GACGAACGCUGGCGGCGUGCUUAACACAUGCAAGUCGAACGGAAAGGCCCUGCUUUUGUGGGGUGCUCGAGUGGCGAACGGGUGAGUAACACGUGAGUAACCUGCCCUUGACUUUGGGAUAACUUCAGGAAACUGGGGCUAAUACCGGAUAGGAGCUCCUGCUGCAUGGUGGGGGUUGGAAAGUUUCGGCGGUUGGGGAUGGACUCGCGGCUUAUCAGCUUGUUGGUGGGGUAGUGGCAUACCAAGGCUUUGACGGGUAGCCGGCCUGAGAGGGUGAACGGCCACAUUGGGACUGAGAUACGGCCCAGACUCCUACGGGAGGCAGCAGUGGGGAAUAUUGCACAAUGGGCGGAAGCCUGAUGCAGCAACGCCGCGUGCGGGAUGACGGCCUUCGGGUUGUAAACCGCUUUCGCCUGUGACGAAGCGUGAGUGACGGUAAUGGGUAAAGAAGCACCGGCUAACUACGUG
rnacentral:rRNA from 1 species